rnacentral:rRNA from 1 species
GACGAACGCUGGCGGCGUGCUUAACACAUGCAAGUCAAGGGGGCCCAGCAAUGGGCAACCGGCGAACGGGUGCGUAACACGUGAGCAACCUACCGAACUGUGGGGGAUAGCCGGCCUAACGGCCGAGUAAUACCGCAUACGCUCUCAGUGAGGCAUUUCAUUGAGAGGAAACCUACGGGACAGAUCGAGGGGCUCGCGGCCUAUCAGCUAGUUGGCGAGGUAACGGCNCACCAAGGCAACGACGGGUAGCUGGUCUGAGAGGAUGGCCAGCCACAUUGGGACUGAGAUACGGCCCAGACUCCUACGGGAGGCAGCAGUGGGGAAUAUUGCGCAAUGGGCGAAAGCCUGACGCAGCGACGCCGCGUGUGGGAUGACGGCCUGGUGUAACG